AUGAAAGAUCCUAACACCAGCACCAUGUCCUUCAAGCAGGCCUUCCUCAAGAACCUCCUCCUCGGACUGCAGCUCCAGGCACACACGUGCACAUCCUUCGGUAACGGCGCCAUGAGCCUCCACGAGAGGAAGCGCGCCGUCAAGUCCUCCGUGGACGUCGCCAUGGCGGCUGCGCAUGGAGGCGGAGCGAGGUGGCCCAAGGCCAUCUUGGCACCGGCGUCCAGCGCGUGCAAGGUGCAGAGGUGUAGGAGGACCGUGAGGAGGUGCUGCCGCCAUAAGAGGUGCUCGGGGAGAUCAGGCCGCACCGGUGGUGGCGACACUCCGGGGAGGCUGGUGAGCAGCAGGACCAUGGCACUGAGGGAGGUGAUACCGGGAGGCCGGAACUCCACCGUCGACGAGGCCACUCUGUUACGCGAGGCCAUGGACUACGCCAUGCACCUGCGCGCUCAGGUCGACGUGCUCCGCUGGCUCUCGGAAACCGUGCAAACAUCUAGCUCCAGUGACUCUAACCGUGCACUGCCAAAGGAGGCAUGA
rnacentral:rRNA from 1 species